GAGGGUAUAGCUCAAGUGGUAGAGGAUGUGCUUAGCAUGCAUGAGGUCCUGGAUUCAAUCCCCAGUACCUCCU
rfam:Camelus ferus unplaced genomic scaffold scaffold2756, whole genome shotgun sequence.